rnacentral:rRNA from 1 species
UAACCGGAUUAGAUACCCUGGUAGUCCACGCCGUAAACGAUGUCGACUAGCCGUUGGGCUCAUUUAAGGGUUUAGUGGCGCAGCUAACGCGAUAAGUCGACCGCCUGGGGAGUACGGCCGCAAGGUUAAAACUCAGAGGAAUUGACGGGGGCCCGCACAAGCGGUGGAGCAUGUGGUUUAAUUCGAUGCAACGCGAAGAACCUUACCAGCCCUUGACAUCCUGCGAACUUUCUAGAGAUAGAUUGGUGCCUUCGGGAGCGCAGUGACAGGUGCUGCAUGGCUGUCGUCAGCUCGUGUCGUGAGAUGUUGGGUUAAGUCCCGUAACGAGCGCAACCCUUGUCCUUAGUUGCCAGCGGUUCGGCCGGGAACUCUAAGGAGACUGCCGGUGAUAAACCGGAGGAAGGUGGGGAUGACGUA